CGUGGAGUGAUUUGUCUGGUUUAUUCCGAUAACGAGCGAGACUCUAACCUACUAAAUAGUUGAUAUUUUUUAUAAGAGUAUACAACUUCUUAGAGGGAUUUGCGGUGUUUAGCCGAAAGAAAUUGAGCAAUAACAGGUCUGUGAUGCCCUUAGAUGUCCGGGGCUGCACGCGCGCUACACUGGCAAAAUCAACGUGCUUGUCCUUCCCCGAAAGGGGCGGGUAAACCAUUGAAAAUUUGCCGUGAUUGGGAUCGGAAAUUGCAAUUAUUUUCCGUGAACGAGGAAUUCCAAGUAAGUGCGAGUCAUCAGCUCGCGUUGAAUACGUCCCUGCCCUUUGUAC
rnacentral:rRNA from 1 species